rnacentral:rRNA from 1 species
AUUGAACGCUGGCGGCAGGCUUAACACAUGCAAGUCGAGCGGGGAAAGGUAGCUUGCUACUGGACCUAGCGGCGGACGGGUGAGUAAUGCUUAGGAAUCUGCCUAUUAGUGGGGGACAACAUCUCGAAAGGGAUGCUAAUACCGCAUACGUCCUACGGGAGAAAGCAGGGGAUCUUCGGACCUUGCGCUAAUAGAUGAGCCUAAGUCGGAUUAGCUAGUUGGUGGGGUAAAGGCCUACCAAGGCGACGAUCUGUAGCGGGUCUGAGAGGAUGAGCCGCCACACUGGGACUGAGACACGGCCCAGACUCCUACGGGAGGCAGCAGUGGGGAAUAUUGGACAAUGGGCGGAAGCCUGAUCCAGCCAUGCCGCGUGUGUGAAGAAGGCCUUUUGGUUAUAAAGCACUUUAAGCGAGGAGGAGGCUACUGAGACUAAUACUCUUGGAUAGUGGACGUUACUCGCAGAAUAAGCACCGGCUAACUCUGUGCCAGCCGCCGCCGUAAGAC